rnacentral:rRNA from 1 species
UACGUAGGUGGCAAGCGUUGUCCGGAUUUACUGGGCGUAAAGAGCGCGCAGGCGGUCGUUCAAGUCGCGUGUGAAAGCCCCCGGCUCAACCUGGGAAUGGCCGUUGAAACUGGCGAACUGGAGUGUGGCAGAGGGGGGUGGAAUUCCGCGUGUAGCAGUGAAAUGCGUAGAGAUGUGGAGGAACACCAGUGGCGAAGACGGCUUUCUGGUCUGUAACUGACGCUGAGGCGCGAAAGCGUGGGGAGCAAACAGG